GCUCUACACCCUUUGUGACAUACCUACAACUGUUGCUUCGGCGGGUAGGGUCCCCGUGACCCUCCCGGCCUCCCGCCCCCCCGGGCGGGUCGGCGCCCGCCGGAGGAUAACCAAACUCUGAUUUAACGACGUUUCUUCUGAGUGGUACAAGCAAAUAAUCAAAACUUUUAACAACGGAUCUCUUGGUUCUGGCAUCGAUGAAGAACGCAGCGAAAUGCGAUAAGUAAUGUGAAUUGCAGAAUUCAGUGAAUCAUCGAAUCUUUGAACGCACAUUGCGCCCGCCAGCAUUCUGGCGGGCAUGCCUGUUCGAGCGUCAUUUCAACCCUCAAGCUCUGCUUGGUGUUGGGGCCCUACAGCUGAUGUAGGCCCUCAAAGGUAGUGGCGGACCCUCCCGGAGCCUCCUUUGCGUAGUAACUUUACGUCUCGCACUGGGAUCCGGAGGGACUCUUGCCGUAAAACCCCCCAAUUUUCCAAAGGUUGACCUCGGAUCAGGUAGGAAUACCCGCUGAACUUAAGCAUA
rnacentral:rRNA from 1 species